rnacentral:rRNA from 1 species
GACGAACGCUGGCGGCGUGCUUAACACAUGCAAGUCGAACGGGCCCGCCCCUGUUUUUGGGGGUGGGUUGAGUGGCGAACGGGUGAGUAUCACGUGAGUAACCUGCCCCCUGCUCCUGGAUAACUGCUUGAAAGGGCGGCUAAUACGGGGUGUGCCGGCUGGUCCGCAUGGGGCUGGUCGGGAUAGUUUCAUCUUCGGGUGUUUCGGUGGGGGAUGGGCUCGCGGCCUAUCAGCUUGUUGGUGGGGUGAUGGCCCACCAAGGCGGUGACGGGUAGCCGGCCUGAGAGGGUGGGCGGCCACACUGGGACUGAGACACGGCCCAGACUCCUGCGGGAGGCAGCAGUGGGGGGUAUUGCACAAUGGGCGGAAGCCUGAUGCAGCGACGUCGCGUGAGGGAUGGAGGCCUUCGGGUUGUGAACCUCUUUCUCCGGUGGUGAAGGCCCUGUCCGUUGCGGCGGGGUUGACGGUAGCCGGGUAUGAAGCGCCGGCUAACUACGUG